UGAAUACGAGAUGCUACGGCGUCGAAGCAGUCUAUGUCAUACUUCCAAGAAAAGCUUGCACUGUCAUAAACAAAUAAUGCCUGUACCAUAACCGACACAGGUGGGUAGGUAGAGUAUACUAAGGGGCGCGAGAUAACUCUCUCUAAGGAACUCGGCAAAAUGACUCCGUAACUUCGGGAGAAGGAGUGCCUUAUUUAUAAGGUUGCAAUAACAAGAUCCAAGCAACUGUUUACCAAAAACACAGGUCUCCGCUAAGUCGUAAGACGAUGUAUGGGGGCUGACGCCUGCCCAGUGCCAGAAGGUUAAAGAAGUUGGUUAGCAUCCGCGAAGCUGAUAACUGCAGCCCUGGUGAACGGCGGCCGUAACAAUAACGGUCCUAAGGUAGCGAAAUUCCUUGUCGGGUAAGUUCCGACCCGCACGAAAGGCGUAAUGAUUUGGAUACUGUCUCGGAGAGGGGCUCGGUGAAAUAGACUUGUCUGUGAAGAUGCGGACUACCUGCACCAGGACAGAAAGACCCUAUGAAGCUUUACUGUAACCUGAAAUUGAAAUUGGACUUUACUUGCGCAGUAUAGGUGGGAGGCGUUGAGAAUAUUCUUGCGGGAUUAUUGGAGCCAUCAGUGAGAUACCACUCUUGUAAUGUUAGAUUUCUAACUUUGUAUCAUUAUCUGGUCAAAGAACAGUUUCAGGCGGGCAGUUUGACUGGGGCGGUCGCCUCCUAAACGGUAACGGAGGCGCACAAAGGUUUCCUCUGAACGGGUAGAAAUCGUAUCUAGAGUGUAAAGGCAUAAGGAAGCUUGACUGUGAGACCUACAAGUCGAGCAGGGACGAAAGUCGGUCUUAGUGAUCUGACGGUGCUGAGUGGAAAGGCCGUCACUCAACGGAUAAAAGUUACUCUAGGAUAACAGGCUGAUCUCCCCCAAGAGUUCACAUCGACGGGGAGGUUUGGCACCUCGAUGUCGGCUCAUCGCAUCCUGGGGCGGUAGUACGUCCCAAGGGUUGGGCUGUUCGCCCAUGAAAGCGGUACGCGAGCUGGGUUCAGAACGUCGUGAGACAGUUCGGUCCAUAUCCGGUGUAGGCGUUAGAAUAUUGAGAGGAGCCUUCUUUAGUACGAGAGGACCGAGAAGGACAUACCUCUGGUGUACCAGUUAUCGUGCCAACGGUAAACGCUGGGUAGCUAUGUGUGGAGUGGAUAACCGCUGAAAGCAUCUAAGUGGGAAGCCCACCUCAAGAUAAG
rnacentral:rRNA from 1 species